AUGUAAUGUAAUGCCUACAGUGUUAAUGAAACGGAUCCCAUUGGAACUCCACAGUUAAGUGUGCUUGGGAUAGAGUAGUAUUGGGAUGGUUGACCUCCUGAGAAGUCCCAAUGUUUUACAUG
rnacentral:rRNA from 1 species